rnacentral:lncRNA from 1 species
UAGCAAGUGGGCCAAAGAUAAAAGCAAACGUGGGUUUAUACAAAAAAAGAAGUGAAUCAGGUCAUGUGAUAUAUGAGCAUCACGGUUCAGCAAACUAUAAAGAAGAUUACUUCUCUGACAUUCAAAACUUCAUAUUGACAUAUGAAAAUGACGUUUUUAUCUUCGGCGGUAGUUAACUACCGCUUGAUUGAUCCGGAUAUUAAGAAAAAACUCCAACGGUAACUACCGUGGAGUAUAAUCAAAGUUUUAUGAUAACCCAUGCUCUGUUUCAUCUCCUCUGCUUUUCCAACCUCCAAAGAAAACAUUAACAAACACAACACAAUAUUGAAUAAAUUACUAUUAAAAUUGAUUAACAAGUACUAAUUCUUGUUUUCAAUAACAGUUUCACUACAUGAAGAUUCUCAUAUAGUUGUUAUACAAAACCAAGAACAAGAAAUAAAGAUAAGAGAAUAGUAGUGGCAAUCAUCCCUCUCAAUUUCUUCUCCACAAUGAUUAGUAAUAUGGAUAGUAAGGUAUAAUAGGAUCAGGCGGUGGUGGAGCACCAUAAACACCACCACCGUUGUUAUUAUUGUUGUUGCCGUCGUCACCGCCGCCGCUGCCGUAAGGUGGUGUUGGAUUAUAAGGGUAAUUGUUAUUACAAGAUGGUGGUGGAUAUGGUAAUUCAGAUUGUGGUGGUGCUGGUGGAGCUGUUGAAACCAGAAGUACCACCUAAAUGAGAAACAAGACCAAAUGAGGGAGACUCAAGCUCCAAACCACCAAAUUCCAAAUACAGCAACUCCAAAAACCUAUGCAUAUGUGACUAACUGCUACUCCCAAUAUAACAAAUACAAAAUAGAGAAAACAAAAGAAGUAAGACAGUGAGCCAUAACUCCCUAAGCUACGUCCAACUCCUUUUCAACUUUUACCAACAUCUAUGAUUCCCCCUAUGUAAUCAAUAUUCCCAAACAGCCCAAAGGAUUCAAAGACCAUUGAUUGAAAGUGUAUUUGAAAAAGAUGGUAAAAUGAUUAAGGGAAAUGAAGAAGGGAAGGGAAAGGAACAAGUGGUUGUGUAGUGAUGUGAAUAUGUGAAGGUGAUGAAACAAAGUGAGUGAGUUGGAAAAUGGAAGAGAUGUGUGGGUGGUCUUAUUAGAUGGCUACAUGUGUUUUGUUUUUGUCACAUUUUGAAGAAUUGAGAGAGUGAAAAUGAAAUUAAAAUAAAGCUGUAGUUAGUCCACGGUAGUUAACUACCUACCGUUGGAGUUUUUUUUACCGCCGAAUCAAUCCAACGGUAGUUAACUACCGCUGAGGAUAAAAACGUCAUUUCUAUAUGUCAAUAUGAUGUUUUGAAUGUCAAAAAAACAAUUUUCAACUAUAAAAAGAGGGGAGCAACAUUCACGUUAAAAAGACACGUUUUGGGGAUUACGACCAGGGAACGUUUUUUUGGAGAACAGAGGAAUUCACGAUUUGGCAACAAAAGGUACAACUA